ensembl:lncRNA
CCCUGUUGUCAUAAUGGAGCUGUGCCCUUUGAGUGUGAGGAAACUAGAAGGGUUCUAGUCCUGAUCAGAGGCCAUGUCAAAGCUGCUCAGCUACAUUUUAGACUCCAGCUGCCCGACUGGGGAAGGGGAGACCAUCUGACACACAAAGUUUUCAUUUGUGGAGUAACAGAUGGGAAACGAUAGGAGAAUGAUGACAGCUACCAGACAACCCAAAACUACUUAUGAAGAUUGUAAUUUAUCUCCAUUGGACUGUGCUGGUCUAGAGAAACUCAGUCUCCACCUCCAGCUAUCAGCGCUCGAAGGUUUUGUGGGGAUUUUAAUCAUCGUUGCUGCAUCCUCAGGUCCCACGUGCAAGUCACCUUGUUUCCGUGAAAUGUUUUAGGAAUUUGUCCCAGCAGCUUUACUUACUACUUUACUCUGCUCCAAGAAUACCAUUUCAUUUAAACCCAAAACUUUUAUUUCUUGCUGAAAAUACAUUUUUCCCCCAGUCACUCUUCCCAUGGCUUAGUAACUCAUUUGCUGUAGGACAUGCACAUAUUUUCCUGUGGGGUGGAGGUUGGGAGAGCAAGUUUUGGUGCUUUACACAUAAUCGUUGUGACUGGAAUUCUUUGGGGGACUGUCUUCAUGUCCUUUCCAAGUUACACUCCAUUUUUUGAUAAGUCUUGUGCAAAUAUUUCUUCUCCAGCAGUCACUUAAAAUUGAAUUUAUUACUGUUUCAUGUGAUGCUAUGCAAGCUGUACCUCUGUAAGCCAUUUUUAUUUAUGACCUUUGCCUGUUUCUUUGAUCAUUUUCCUGAUGGUUCAGAUCAUUGAGGUUGAAAUGACUGUCUCUGUUAUUAUGGCAACCCUAUCUACCUUCGAAUUUUCUACCCACUACCUCCACUUGCUCCUGAGCUUCUGGGAUUUCAUUAGUCACAAGCAAAAAUCAAUAUUAUGAACUGAUGAUUCUUGCCCAAGAGAGUUCCAUUAUCACAACUAAACAUGCUAUGAGGCCCUUUAGUGGUUCCAGGGGUGGUAUCCUUGUUUCUUUGGACAAUCAUCCCUUCCUCUGAUUUCUAGAAAUAUUACUUUAUUUGUGAUUGUGAUUUUUUGUUUACUUCAGUGCACUUUUCCAUACUUUUUGACUUAAAAAACAGGCAUUAUACUUUAUGAAAACAUUAGAGAUUUAUUAAUUUGUUAAAUGACGAUAAACAUAGAAGUACAGAUUAUUUUUUAAAAAACAGUUUUGAAGAUAACUUGGUGAUUUCUUACAAAACUCAUCAUACUUUUACCAUACGAUCCAGCAAUUGAGCUUCUUGGCACUUACCCAGAGUUGAAAACUUGUGACCACACACAUAAAAAAACCUGCUCACAGAUGUUUAUAAAAGUUUAUUUAUAGUUACCAAAACUUGGAAGGAACUAAGAUGUCCUUCAGGUGACAUCGUAGGUGAAUGGGUAAAUGAACUCUGGAUAAAUUUCCAUCCAGACAAAGGAAUAUUAUUCAGUGCUAAAAAGAAAUGAGCUAUUAAGUAGUGCCAAGACAUGAAGGAUACUUAAAUGCAUAUUACUCAGCAAAAUAUGCCAAUAUGAAAAGGAUACAUACUGUAUGAUUCCAGCUAUAUGACAUUUUGGAAGAGGCAAAAUGAGGAGAGGAAAAAGAUCAGUGUUGUCAGAGGUUUGGGGAGUGGAGAUAAAUGGACAGAACACAGGAUUUUCAGGGCAGUGAAACCACUCUAUGAUACUAUACUGAUGGAUACCUGUCAUUAUACAGUUGUCCAAAACCAUAGAUUGUGCAACUCCAAGAGUGAAUCUUAAGGUAUGACAUGGGUUUUCAGUGAUUUCGAUGUGUUACAUUUGAGUGGUGUGUUACAAUGACAAUAAAUGCACCUCUCUGGUGGGGAUACCGAUGGGG